AGAGCGAACGCUGGCGGCAUGCUUAACACAUGCAAGUCGCACGGUCAGCGAUGGCAGUGGCGGACGGGUGAGUAACACGUAGGAAUCUAUCUAAUGGUGGGGGACAACCGUGGGAAACUACGGCUAAUACCGCAUGAUGCCUGAGGGCCAAAGGUCGCAAGACCGCCGAUUGAGGAGCCUGCGUCUGAUUAGCUUGUUGGUGGGGUAAAGGCCUACCAAGGCUGCGAUCAGUAGCUGGUCUGAGAGGAUGAUCAGCCACAUUGGGACUGAGACACGGCCCAAACUCCUACGGGAGGCAGCAGUGGGGAAUAUUGGACAAUGGGCGCAAGCCUGAUCCAGCCAUGCCGCGUGAGUGAUGAAGGCCUUAGGGUUGUAAAGCUCUUUCGCACGCGACGAUAAUGACGGUAGCGUGAGAGAAGCCCGGCUAACUUCGUGCCAGCAGCCGCGGU
rnacentral:rRNA from 1 species